GUCUAAUCUGCUCAAUGAAAUUUUAAAUUGCCGCGGUAUUUUGACCGUGCAAAGGUAGCAUAAUAAUUAGUUUUUUUAUUGAAAGCUGGAAUGAAUGAUUGGACGAGAAAGUAUCUGUCUCUAAAAAAAUUAUUUUUGAAUUUAACUUUUGAGUAAAAAGGCUCAAAUUUUUUUUAAAGACCAGAAGACCCUAUAGAGUUUAAUAUUUAAUUUGUUAUGUUAAUUUUUGGAUUUUAUUUUUUUAAUUAGUUAUUUAUUUAGUUGGGGUGACUAGAAGAUUAAAUAAACUCUUCUAAUAAUAUUGAAUCAUUGAUUUAUGAAAAUAUAAUCUAGUUUAAUCUAAAUAUAAGAUAAAUUACCUUAGGGAUAACAGCGUUAUUUCUUUUUAGAGUUCUAAUUGGAAAAGAAGUUUGCGACCUCGAUGUUGGAUUAAAAUUAGUUUUUGGUGCAGAAGCUUGAAAACUGGGUCUGUUCGACCUUU
rnacentral:rRNA from 1 species